AGAAUCAACGCUGGCGGCGUGCCUAACACAUGCAAGUCGCACGAGAAAGGGACUUCGGUCCUGAGUAAAGUGGCGCACGGGUGAGUAACACGUGAAUCAUCUACCUCCAAAUGGGGAAUAACUGAGAGAAAUCUUAGCUAAUACCGCAUAAUACCUACGGGUCAAAGCAGCAAUGCGUUUGGAGAGGAGUUCGCGGUCGAUUAGUUAGUUGGCGGGGUAAUGGCCCACCAAGACGAUGAUCGAUA
rnacentral:rRNA from 1 species